GUAGGUGGCAAGCGUUGUCCGGAAUUAUUGGGCGUAAAGCGCGCGCAGGCGGUCCUUUAAGUCUGAUGUGUAAGCCCACGGCUCAACCGUGGAGGGUCAUUGGAAACUGGGGGACUUGAGUACAGAAGAGGAAAGCGGAAUUCCAAGUGUAGCGGUGAAAUGCGUAGAGAUUUGGAGGAACACCAGUGGCGAAGGCGGCUUUCUGGUCUGUAACUGACGCUGAGGCGCGAAAGCGUGGGGAGCAAACAGGGAUUAGAUACCCUGGUAGUCCACGCCGUAAACGAUGAGUGCUAAGUGUUAGGGGGUUUCCCGCCCCUUAGUGCUGCAGCUAACGCAUUAAGCACUCCGCCUGGGGAUACGGCCGCAAUGCUG
rnacentral:rRNA from 1 species